rnacentral:rRNA from 1 species
GACGAACGCUGGCGGCGCGCCUAACACAUGCAAGUCGAACGAAGUUAGAGAGAGCUUGCUUUUUCUAACUUAGUGGCGAACGGGUGAGUAACGCGUGAGGAACCUGCCUCAAAGAGGGGGACAACAGUUGGAAACGACUGCUAAUACCGCAUAAGCCCACAGCUCCGCAUGGAGCAGAGGGAAAAGGAGCAAUCCGCUUUGAGAUGGCCUCGCGUCCGAUUAGCUAGUCGGUGAGGUAACGGCCCACCAAGGCGACGAUCGGUAGCCGGACUGAGAGGUUGAUCGGCCACAUUGGGACUGAGACACGGCCCAGACUCCUACGGGAGGCAGCAGUGGGGAAUAUUGCACAAUGGGGGAAACCCUGAUGCAGCGACGCCGCGUGGAGGAAGAAGGUCUUCGGAUUGUAAACUCCUGUUGUUGGGGAAGAUAAUGACGGUACCCAACAAGGAAGUGACGGCUAACUACGUGCCAGCAGCCGCGGUAAAACGUAGGUCACAAGCGUUGUCCGGAAUUACUGGGUGUAAAGGGAGCGCAGGCGGGAAGACAAGUUGGAAGUGAAAUCUAUGGGCUCAACCCAUAAACUGCUUUCAAAACUGUUUUUCUUGAGUAGUGCAGAGGUAGGCGGAAUUCCCGGUGUAGCGGUGGAAUGCGUAGAUAUCGGGAGGAACACCAGUGGCGAAGGCGGC